CUCGGCGAAGAAGCGUCCAAUCGGCUUCUUUGGACUCAGCGGUCGCCUGCGCUGCCUUCGGUGCCGUUGGUGACGGCUGAGCCGCUUCCCGCGCGUCGCCUAACCCGCCCCUCGACUCACCGCAGCCCCGGCUCCUCCCUCGUCCGGCCCCCGGGGCGGGGUCUGUCGGCUCGCCCUCCCUUCUCUGCCUAAGCCUGCCCUCCGCCAGCCGGGUCCCCUCCCCACAGCACCACGGCUUCUCUUCCUCAGCAAGGCGACAGGGGCUUCCCCUUAGCCGCCGCCGCCGGCCAAGCCCCGCCGCGCCCGCGGCCCGCGGCCGCCAUGCAGUUUAUGUUGCUUUUUAGUCGUCAGGGAAAGCUUCGACUGCAAAAAUGGUAUGUCCCACUAUCAGACAAAGAGAAGAAAAAGAUCACCAGAGAACUUGUUCAGACCGUUUUAGCACGGAAACCUAAAAUGUGCAGCUUUCUUGAGUGGCGAGAUCUGAAGAUUGUUUACAAAAGAUAUGCUAGUCUGUAUUUUUGCUGUGCUAUUGAGGAUCAAGACAAUGAACUAAUUACCCUGGAAAUAAUUCAUCGUUAUGUGGAAUUACUUGACAAGUAUUUUGGCAGUGUCUGUGAACUAGAUAUCAUCUUUAAUUUUGAGAAGGCUUAUUUUAUUUUGGAUGAGUUUCUUUUGGGAGGGGAAGUUCAGGAAACAUCCAAGAAAAAUGUCCUUAAAGCAAUUGAGCAGGCCGAUCUACUGCAGGAGAGCCAGAAUGAAGAAUGGGGAGGUUUGUCUGAGGAUGUCUUAUAAUAAAGAGCCAGUCUAAGGCUUUAGCCCCUUUGAUCCCCAACUUAUUUAUUGGAAGCUGAAACCCCACGUAGUGUUCUUGAAGAAAUUGGACUGACAUAACUCUCCUCCCUUGUUGAUGACUUCUUGUGGCAUUUCACACACUGUAGAUGGUCACUCCCUUCAUCUCCAUGUUAGCUAAUGGUGUAAGAUGAUGUCUUGUCAGUGUUACUGUUUUGCUAAGCUGCUUCAUUCAUGUCUACACAAUAUUUUUUAAAGGGAACUUUGGUUAAUCAAGUGAUAAGGGACUUAAAUAUGAAUUAGAAUGGUAGCAGAAAAAGAUACCUUUUCUGGAUAUUUUAAAGUUUAAAGGUCAGUUUCUCUUAAUCUGAUUAUAUGCACAUAUGAAAAUGGCACAUAUACAUGUAAAAUCAGGCAGUAUACAUUUAUUAAUUACUGUAUUUGACAAAGGAAACAAAUUAUAAUGUGAAACCUGGUUUUAUGAAACCAAAGAUUAGUGCAGCAUUUCGGUAUAUAUUAAAAAAAAAGAAAGGGAAUUACAUGUCACAUAUCAAAUGAAUGGAGACUUAACUUUGCUGAAACUUUAAAAAGCAAAUUUGCUCCAAAGACGACUAUUGGAAAUUACAUACCUUUCAAAAAUAAAAGGGAAUAUUUUCAAAAAUAAAGGGAAUUAUUUUUAAUGACUUAAUUGGAAUGAUACUUUUACACUAAAAAUUAUUUCUUAGGCAUUCUGAAUCUGGGAUGAGAAACAGGAUUGUUUCAUAAUAGUAAGCACAUAAUUUUUAAGGCCAAGGCACAUUUGACUCCUGAGAUGAAUUUUUUUGUGGUCAUAAUGACAUACGUAGUUGUUUUUGAUGCCCAAAAUAAAGUGAGAAUGUUAAUUUGCCAGGAAUUCUUCAUAACAGUAUCUUACAGAAAACAUGUUGCUCUCUCUCUUCACAGUGUUAUGUGUAAAGUCAUUGUUUAAAGCAUGAAUGUUCCUUCUGGGAUGCUUGUUAAUGCCAAAUUUAUUUUGCUUCCCUAUUUGCUUCCCUCCACUUAGAAGUGCUGCAAACUUUACAGCAGCUUCCUUUCUUUCCAUGGCACUGCCUAGUUAACCGAAGUCUUAUAAAAAUUUAAAAAGACAUGUUUCAUAUAAAAAAGUGAGAGUUGAAUGAGGUAAAAUGGCAUUAGUUGGCCCUAUAUUUUUUAAAGCUAUAUAAUUGUUCAGCGUCACUUUUCUAAGUACUUACACAUAUCUAAACAUGUCUUCAUGGUUUAUACUUUCACAUGUAUAUGCUGGGCUGGAUUAAGCUUUGUUGUGAUUGUGACCAAUAUUCAGGCCACGUGAGCACUGUCUUAUCACUUCACCAAUUAGUUGUAAUAAACAUUCAACGUACAAAUACUGGAGUGUGUUUUUAUCUCUUUCCAAAAGUUUGUCAAACUAUGGAGAGCUAGUGAAGAAAGAAUUUCUAAUUUUUUUUUCAGUAAAACAUUGAAAAUUCCCCUCCAUUUGAAUAUGGUGGUUGUUAUAAGCACACACAAGAUACAUGGUGGAAGAUCUAAGGAGUCUUCAUGUACUUCAUUAAAUAACAUGGAUUCCAUGCUGUUGUGAGCUUAUCUACACAUUUAUUUUCAAUCAAUAAAUGCUGCUUUUAAAACCUU